rnacentral:rRNA from 1 species
GUGACGUCAAGCUUCCAAGAAAAGCCCUAUACCCGUUAAGGCAUCAUGGCCUGUACCCGAAACCGACACAGGUGGGGUGGUAGAGAAUACCGAGGGGCGCGAGGUAACUCUCUCUAAGGAACUCGGCAAAAUGGCCCCGUAACUUCGGGAGAAGGGGUGCCAGCGAGAGCUGGUCGCAGUGAAGAGGCCCAGGCGACUGUUUACCAAAAACACAGGUCUCCGCUAAGUCGCAAGACGAUGUAUGGGGGCUGACGCCUGCCCAGUGCCGGAAGGUUAAGGAAGCUGGUCAGCGCAAGCGAAGCUGGCGACUGAAGCCCCGGUGAACGGCGGCCGUAACAAUAACGGUCCUAAGGUAGCGAAAUUCCUUGUCGGGUAAGUUCCGACCCGCACGAAAGGCGUAACGAUCUGGGCGCUGUCUCGGAGAGAGGCUCGGCGAAAUAGAAUUGUCUGUGAAGAUGCGGACUACGUGCACCCGGACAGAAAGACCCUAUGAAGCUUUACUGUAGCUUGGUAUUGUGCUCGGGCUCGGAAUGCGCAGGAUAGGUGGGAGGCUUGGAUCCAUUGCUUGCGGGUGAUGGUGAGCCACUGGUGAGAUACCACUCUUUUCGAGCUUAAGUUCUAACCCUUACCCGUUAUCCGGGGAGGGGACAGUAUCAGGUGGGCAGUUUGACUGGGGCGGUCGCCUCCUAAAAGGUAACAGAGGCGCGCAAAGGUUCCCUCAGGCUGGUUGGAAAUCAGCCGACGAGUGCAAAGGCAGAAGGGAGCUUGACUGUGAGACCUACAAGUCGAACAGGGACGAAAGUCGGCCUUAGUGAUCCGACGGUUCUGCGUGGAAGGGCCGUCGCUCAACGGAUAAAAGUUACUCUAGGAUAACAGGCUGAUCUCCCCCAAGAGUUCACAUCGACGGGGAGGUUUGGCACCUCGAUGUCGGCUCAUCGCAACCUGGGGCUGAAGUCGGUCCCAAGGGUUGGGCUGUUCGCCCAUUAAAGCGGUACGCGAGCUGGGUUCAGAACGUCGUGAGACAGUUCGGUCCAUAUCCGGUGCACGCGCAGGAAUAUUGAGAGGAUUUCUCCCUAGUACGAGAGGACCGGGAGGAACGCACCUCUGGUGUGCCAGUUAUCGUGCCAACGGUAAACGCUGGGUAGCCAUGUGCGGAGAGGAUAACCGCUGAAAGCAUCUAAGUGGGAAGCCCACCUCAAGAUGAGUAUUCCCAUGGCAUAAGCCAGUAAGGUCACGGGAAGAUUACCCGUUGAUAGGCCCUACGUGGAAGCGCAGUAAUGUGUGAAGCGGAGGGGUACUAAUAGACCGAGGGC